rnacentral:rRNA from 1 species
GAUCAUGGCUCAGAUUGAACGCUGGCGGCAUGCUUUACACAUGCAAGUCGAACGGCAGCAUGAGGAGCUUGCUACUUGAUGGCGAGUGGCGCACGGGUGAGUAAGACAUCGGAACGUGUCCUUUUGUGGGGGAUAACUGUCCGAAAGGACAGCUAAUACCGCAUAAGACCUGAGGGUGAAAGCGGGGGAUCGCAAGACCUCGCGCGAAAGGAGCGGCCGAUGGCCGAUUAG